rnacentral:ncRNA from 2 species
CCCGCUGAAUUUAAGCAUAUCCAUAAGCGGAGGAAUAGAAACUAACAAGGAUUCCCUUAGUAACGGCGAGCGAACCGGGAUAAGCCUCACAAUGAGAAUCGGUCGCCCUUGGCGUUCGAAUUGUAGUCUGGAGAAGCGUCCUCAGCGGCGCACCGGGCCCAAGUCCCUUGGAAAGGGGCGUCGGAGAGGGUGAGAGCCCCGUUGUGCUCGGACCCUGUCGCACCACGAGGCUCUGUCGGCGAGUCGGGUUGUUUAGGAAUGCAGCCCCAAUCGGGCGGUAAAUUCCGUCCAAGGCUAAAUAUUGGCGAGAGCCCGAUAGCUGUAA